rnacentral:tRNA from 1 species
GCGCUAGUAGUGUAGGGGUAUCAUGCAAGAUUCCCAUUCCUGACACCCGUUUUCAAAUCCCGGCUAGGGCA